GACCGGAGUGGACGCAUCACUGGUGUUCGGGUUGUCAUGCCAAUGGCACUGCCCGGUAGCUAAAUGCGGAAGAGAUAAGUGCUGAAAGCAUCUAAGCACGAAACUUGCCCCGAGAUGAGUUCUCCCUGACUCCUUGAGAGUCCUGAAGGAACGUUGAAGACGACGACGUUGAUAGGCCGGGUGUGUAAGCGCAGCGAUGCGUUGAGCUAACCGGUACUAAUGAACCGUGAGGCUUAACCUU
rnacentral:rRNA from 1 species